GGAUUUAACAGAAGAAAAAGCACAAUUCACCCGUGUGUGUGGCGUCCACUUUAUAUCUGUAUAGGUGGUUGUGGACAGUUCAGUUCACAAGUAUCUCAUCAAGCUGAGCAAGAGGAGGAAACACAGAGCAGCGUGGAAACAACAUGGUGACAGGAGCCAUGGUCCGAGGGUCCUCAUCCAUCUACGUAGAAAUGUACCAUCAAUAUUCUGUUUCACAGUCCCACACACACCAAGUAGAAAACUAGAAACAAUAGAAAAUACGGUGGCAUAUCUUUCUGGUACGUAUAGAAGAUUAACACAAGUCUUGUGUUGAAGCAGAGACCCUCGUCCAAUCUCCUUCCUCCACCUCUCCACAACAAAUCUUCCCUGCCUCCAUCUUCUACCCCGACCCAGCUGCAGGAGGUGGAACAGCAGCUCUCUGCUGUAAAGGGAAUACAAAGAACCUUGACAUCACUAUUUUGAUGAAUCCUCUUCAUUUGAUGUCUUGACCUGGUUUGUGUGUGUACAUGAACAGUAACUAACUUCCAUACUACCUACAUAUUAGUUAUGCGUCCCCCCCAGGUGGAGACAUACUGGGCUGUACUUUAUUAGACUACUUCAUGAUUACUGUCCCAUUGUGUGUGUGCUCUUCUCAUGACAGCCAGGGUAAGCCAUAACAUAAGGCUGACAGGAAAUAAAGGAGGCGACUACAGACAGUUAUUGAUGCACUGACACAAUUGUAUUUUGGUUUCUCUUUUUAUUAGACAGUUACCAAAAUAUCUACAUUUAAAUAACUUCAUGUCUUCAAAAAACAAAAAAAAUAAAACUUGAUUUACUGAUUUGAA